GUGCCAGCAGCCGCGGUAAUACAGAGACUGCAAGCGUUAUUCGGAUUCACUGGGCGUAAAGGGUGCGCAGGCGGCCAAGUGUGUCAGGUGUGAAAUCCCGAGGCUUAACCUCGGAACUGCGCCUGAAACUACUUGGCUAGAGUACUGGAGAGGGUAACGGAAUUCACGGUGUAGCAGUGAAAUGCGUAGAUAUCGUGAGGAACACCAGAGGCGAAGGCGGUUACCUGGACAGUUACUGACGCUCAGGCACGAAAGCGUGGGGAGCAAAAGGGAUUAGAUACCCCCGUAGUCC
rnacentral:rRNA from 1 species